GCCCGUGUGGUGUAGUGGUUUGAGCACUGGACUACAAGUCUCGAGAUCAGGGUUUGAUUCCCUGCUCAGCCA